rnacentral:rRNA from 1 species
UACAUGAGCGACAAGCAUUAUCCGCAAUUAUUGGGUGUAGGGGAUGCGUAGAUGGUUUAUAAAGUUUGUAAUAACUAAAAGAAUACUUUAAAUUAUACAAAAACUAUAAACUCGAGUUUAUUGGAAGUAAAUAUAAUCUAUAAACGAGCGAUAAAAUGCGAAAAAUUUAUAGUUUAUACCAAUCGUGAAAACAAUUUACUACUAUAAACUGACAUUGAAGCAUGAAAGUAUGGUGAUCGAACAGG